rnacentral:tRNA from 1 species
GGCUCUGUAGUGAAAAGUUUCAUAUUGAGUUGCAAGCUCAUUGAUGCACGUUGAGAGUGCCGGAGCCU